rnacentral:rRNA from 1 species
AUUGAACGCUGGCGGCAUGCCUAACACAUGCAAGUCGAGCGGAUGAAGGGUGCUUUCUCCUGUAUUCAGCGGCUGACGGGUGUGUAAUGCCUAGGAAUCUCCCUGGUAGUGGGUGAUCACGUCCGCAAACAGUCGCUCAUACCGCAUACGUCCUGAGGCAGAAAGUGGGGGAUCUUCGGACCUCUCGCUCUCAGAUGAUCCUAUGUCGGAUUAGCUAGUUGGUGGGGUAAAGGCCUACCAAGGCGACGAUCCGUAACUGGUCUGAGAGGAUGAUCAGUCACACUGGAACUGAGACACGGUCCAGACUCCUACGGGAGGCAGCAGUGGGGAAUAUUGGACAAUGGGCGAAAGCCUGAUCCAGCCAUGCCGCGUGUGUGAAGAAGGUCUUCGGAUUGUAAAGCACUUUAAGUAGGGAGGAAGAGCAGUAAGUUAAUACCUUGCUGUUUUGACGGUACCAAAAGAAUAAGCACCGGCUAACUUCGUG